AGAAUCUAGAUUCCCAGAGCCAAGGCAUAUCCCUCCAGGACUUGGGUAGUCCACAGAGAAGCAAAGGUCCAAAGCGGGCACUGCCAGGCUGCUAAUCAGGAAGGGACUGGCAGACAGAUGGCGCAGCCUCUGCUCUCCCUGUUCAACAGAGAAAACAAACAGCUGAAGCCGCCACAGCUCUGGUGAGAGGCCAGGCAAGGGUGGACGGAGACCUCUCGGACGCUCCUCCGGGAUGGGAGCAGGAGCUGCAGAUUUCUUGCUAACACUUCACCUUUUAAGAAGGAAGACACUGUGUUUACUGAGCACCAGCUGUGGGAGGAGGGGAGGGAAGCACCCGGGAGGGCUGUGGCCCAGCACCCAGCUCCUGGUCUCCCCGCUCUGUGGCCAUGUUUGGGACCAACUCUGCUGUCAUCCCAAAUCACCAAUAACAGUCUCUUUAAUGCGGCCAGGUAUGAGGGACAGCCCUGUGAAAAAGGACAAUCACCACCUGGAAAAGGAACUGGUGCUGGUCACUCUGUGCUGGUCAUUUAAUCUGGAACGUGUGAAGGGAAGCAGGGCCGCUGGGCAAGACCUCUCCCAGGCAGCCGCCAACCUCGGAGGUCAAGUGGGCGCUCUCGGAGGAGCUUCAAGUCACGGAAUUACACGUCUUUUGCCAAGUUCUCACAGGGUCGCUAUUGCACAGAAGGACGGUGCUGACAGUGAAGCCAAAUGAACACUAUGGGACGUGACCACGAGGACUCAGGAGCACUCAUAAGGAAAAGAACAACGAUGACGACAAGUUGUAAGGUACCUCUCUAUUGCAUAUACUGCACAACAAAUAAAACAUCUGUGUUCAACUUUAGAAGUUACAUUUUAAAACAAGUUCCCAUUAAAAACACACAUCCCACACACACCAGGACAGUGACGGAUGAGAACAGCGCAUGAAUACUGCAGGAAGGUCCAGGCACCCUCACAACCCUGGCCUUGGGCUUCCAAGCCAGCCGUACGCAGCGGGCACCCUGCUUAGUGUCCCAGUGCAGGGCCAGCUCCAGCGACCUCGAGGUGAAAUUGUUAUAUACAUCAUAUCUACAUGCGGAUACGGCAUCUUAAAUUAGGAGGCAAGCACAUGGACGAAGGCGUCACUCUACCAGAUAUCAGGAGAUGCUGGGGACAGAACAGUUAAUCAAAGAAAAGAGCUAUAUUACCUGUGGCGAGAUAAUAUAACUGGCUUAGCAGUUCUUUAAAUUAAAAGAAACUGGUACAGAAAGGAAGUAUAAUCCAAAGCAUAUGACCAAAACAAUCCAGAGAGAUUUUUCCAUUGUCCAACAUUGUCCCUAAUAUAAGUCAGAAUUCAUGACUUGGCCAGUCACAAGGAGAACGCUAACUUCUGAAAAGGAAAGCCCUGGACCUUCUGGGUAGGUGUUUGGCACCCAAAACUUCACUGAAGAAUGUUGUUUCUUAAUAUCAGACCAAAGUGCAAAGCAUAUAAAUUAGAGCCAAGUCUUCUCUUGACGGUCGAUUUACUUCUGGAAAACAGACUGCAUGUUCCUCUUAUAUGAACAAUUUACAUUUGAAGCAGUAGGUUUUUUUCACUGUUGGGGGUAGGGAAUGGGCUUCUGUUCUACUGGAAGUUGGUGAAGUGAAGGACUCCUUCUCAAAGCAGAGCCGGAACCGGAGGUGGGAAAUGUCAGACUUGGAGAGUGAGGCUGCUUUGCAUCUACCCAGCGUCUAGAACCACUUCCAGCCUCGUGCCACUGUGAACGAACUCCCUUAGGCAUCUGGUAGCCAUGUAGCCAGUAGUUCAAGACUAGGAAACCCUGGGGAAUAAAAACAGGAGCGUGGAUGUUUCUUCUGGUUAGACAAGGACGCACCCCAGCCCACCCCAGGCGCAUGGGCGACACGCAGGGCUGCAGGCUGGGCAGGGAGCUGUAGGCCAGGUCUCGCGUGGACUUGACCUCACAGCCCAAAGAGGGAUAAACUGUUAAUACCUGCUUCCCACAUAAAAGAAUUACAGAGUCAGAGAAGAAGCCUUGUGCUACUGUAUAUAGAGCUAUCAGGAGUCACUAUUUGUCUUUAAAUGAUUUGACACAUAAAUCUAUUGCUACAUUUCCUAGCACAGAGAUAUUCUUACCUGAUAUUUUAGGGGUGAAUAGUUUAUUGCAAGGGUAAAUCAUCAUUAGGCUAGUAUUUUUCAUUAUUCAUAAAUCACAUGGUCUUCAUUUUUCAUGUUCAAUAAAAGAAAAGAAUUUGGAAAAGAGGAAUAAAAUCUGUAGUGUUGACUGCCAAGGCUGUCAAAAGCAAUUCCCUUUGAAGAGACAAACACAUUUGGGGUUUCACUGGGAUGUGGGGAGUAGUACCUACCUAUAAGGCAGAUGAGAUUGAAAAGGCUCAAAACACAACUUACAAUUGGGUACUGGAACAAGGCAAUUGUUCUUAGGUCCCAAAAAAGAAAGUGGGAAACAGUCAGGAAGAAAAAAAGACCAGUCUCCUUUCCACCACAGCCAAAGAGAAGCAGCACCCCCACCCUGCCUCACCUCCCAACCAGAGGAACUCUGUUCCAGAGCCCUUGCAGUCAUAUGCAAAAGCUGUUGUUGGUGAAAAUUUACUGUGUUCUAUUACAUACACCAGAAAGGAAAAAUAAAAGGUAUGGUAUGGAA